AAAUCUCCUCAAGUAAUAGCAUAUAACUAGGAAAUACUACCACUAUACGAUUGUUAGGGGACCUGCACCGAUCAUGACUCAGAGGUGCACCUUCUUCAGCCCUCAAAGUCGAAUCCUAACUGACGAUAAAGAAGUCGUACACCUCAACACUCUCUGGAAUACUUGAUCGCAGGGAGAAAGUAAAGGGUUACGGAAAUGCAAGCCUCUUCAGACAGCUUGGCAGGGAGAAAGUAAAGGACUACAGAAAAUUCAGGUCUUCUCAUACAGCUUGGCAGGGAGAAAGUAAAGGUCUACAGAAAUGCAAGCCACUUCAGACAGCAUGGUUAAGACAGUCUACAACCACUGGCAAGAUGAAAGAUGUACUCAAAUUUUUAUCUUUUACAUUAGAGUAAUAGACCAAUUAAAUUUUGCCUUCUCUAUUUCUCACAGCAGGGAGAAAGUAAAGGACUGAAAAAAGUCAAGCCUUGUCCUACUUUGCCCAAAUGAAUGGCACAUAUAUCCUAACAAUGAAUGUAGCUGAUAAACUUUCAGUUACACCCAAAAAGAUACCCCAUGGUUAUAUCAGUUUUAGGGGCUGAGGAUGUAUCUGAACACCAAGGAGCCUUAAAUGAAAGGGUAACUACAGGCUACCGAGUAAAGAUUUGUUUUGCAGUGCUGGAGACCCCCAUCACGGAGCCCACUCUCCAGCGCAUCGUUUCUCUGAGACUUAGCGGAGCAGUAAGCAUAUUAUAUUAGGUUUGAUGUUCCUUUAACACGAAGCCGAACAAUCUGAAAACCAUCCAGAUGACUAGUGCCUGGAGACCAGAUACUUUACUAUAUUAGAACAACCGCUGAGCAUUGGGAUGCGGUAUGAUGUUUUCCUAAGAUAAGCCGAGAUUAAUAAAAACUUUUAUGCUGUUGUU